UUAAUACAGUAUGGCGAAGUUGUCCAAGUGGCUACCUAACUCCGGAAAGGGUGGGACCGGAUGGGGGCGGGGCCCUGGGGCCUUGGCUGCAGUGAAGGGGCGCAUUGUACCUGCAGAGGGAUUGGCUGGGGGAGGAGGAAGCCCUGAGCUCCCACACUAGGACAGAACCAGGCUGGCCCAAAGGAGGCUUCAAAUCCAACCCGGUUAGAAUACAGGCGAGUACUCUGGCUCGGAAGGGGAGGGGGCCGGGCGAGCAUUGAAGAGCUACAACUAGCCGAGGCCCGGUGGGCCACGAGCUGGACAGACACGAAGGACGACCAGAGCGAAGGCCACGGCCCCGCGCAGGCCGCCGUACGACAUGACCACCUGGUCUAUGAUCUCCAGCUGCACCAUCCGGUACCGGUUCAGGACCCAGGUCUGCAGGACGACACCUGCGGGCCGGCCUGCGCUGAGCUCCCACGCGCCAGGAGCACCGCCCCGCCCCUUCCCGGCAGCCACCACACUGAGGGGAGCAACAUUUGGGAAUUCCCCCCUUGGGCAGUGACAGUGAGGGCGACGGGUUCUGUUCUGAGCAAUGGCUCACAAAAAUGCCACCCCGGAGUUCUGCUCUCCCCACACCCUCCUGUCUACACCAGCGUUCUCUCUUGGCCGCGGGUCAAACCUGCCCCUGUGACCCACGUGGCAGUGGAGGCCUUGUGUCCUAGGACCCCCGACACUGCCUCAGUCUGGCAGCCCCUCCCUGGAGCCCCCAGUCCCCACUGAGCACAGGCAGAACGGGUGGUGAUCCCACCCCAGCCUGCACUCCAAGGAUGGGCAACAAGGGUCACAGCGGGGAGCAGGGCUCCUGCCUCACAGGAGCCUCCAUCUGCUUCCUCAGUGACUGUAUCCACAGUGAGUCAAGGGGAAACCAAGUGGGUUCCUCUACGUUCUAGAACCUUCUACCCUGCCCCCCAGUUGUGCUCUCUCCAUCUCAAGGUGACAAGGCUGUGAAGAAAGCCUGAACCUUCGCUGAAGAUAACCGAUGGCCUGGCCACUGAGGCUCCCCAGGGGCUCCUGAGCCGGCCAUUCACUGGGCUGGGGAGUUCCACAGACUCCCCACAGCUGUAACCCACUGUCCACCCUCCACUGUCCCCACCACCCCUCGUCAUUCGUACUGCCCCCCAUCAUGCCCCAUCCCCCAUCGUCUCCCCUCCGCCCUGUCAUCCCCACUGCCCGCCACUCCCCAUCUCCCAUCAUCCCUGCCAUCACCCCCCCCUCCCCCUUGUCCCCACCAUCCGCCCAGCGCCCUCACCAAUGGCCCGGUACACGGAGAUGAAGACCAGAGUGAGGAGCACAAAGGCCGUGUUCCACUUCCAGAUGAGCGGGUUCACGGCCGAGAUGCCGAGGAACAUGAAGAUGAUGGUCUCCGCCCCGCUGGCCAGCAUCUUCAUGGUGUAGCGCACGGUGGUGGCCGACUGCUCCGAGAUGUUAGCCUUCACGUACUUCUGACAGCAGAUGCCACAGAAGCACGUGGCCCGGACCCUGGGCGGCUCUGGCGCCCCAGGCCGUGGGAGUGAGGGGAACUCACGCCAGGAUGGCCGACAGCGACAGCAUCUCGGACGUGAGGUAGGACAGGUACGAGAUGAUAAACACAAAGCCCGGCUCGAUGAUGCGCACAUGCUUGGUGAAGCGGGUCACCAGCGACAGCAGGAAGGCGAAGAUGACCCCCACCAGCGUGCCCCCCAGGCUCACCACGAAGAAGGACACUGCGGGCCGAGGACGCUGGCUGAACUGCCUGAAAGGCCCUUUGUGGCCGGGCGUGGCUGGCCCCUGUGUGGGCGCGGCUGACCGGCAGUCCUUCCAGACCAUUCCUCAUCUGGGGGUUGCCUGGUAACCCCACAGAGGCGCCAACAACUCAGCAAACAAGAGGCCGGUUCUCCCCCGCCCCCUCCCCAGAGGCCGGCGCGUGGAGAGCGGGAGGCCUGGCUCCCCUCCCCCAUUGUGGAGAAAGCCCAGGAAGGCAGCCUUAGGCAGAGCUGUCCGUGGGCCCCCAGGACAGCCGGGCUGUCAUUGUCCCUGCCCAGGGAAAUGUUUGCUCAGGACCACCCAGGACAUGGAUCCUCCAACCAGACAUGCUGGUGGGUCUCACAGGGCAGCAGCCCUUGCCUCCCCACGGUGCCAGGACCCAAGGAAAUUGUGUUGGUGAAACACAUUGGGACAGGAGGGAACUGCCAUGGAGACUUCAAAGUGGAAAUGCCUUUUCCUACACAGGCUGUGGGUCCUAGGAGGCCUGGUGCCGAAGCCUGGAGGUGCUCCCCAUGCUGGAGAGGAGAUGUGACCCCCACACUCCCCAGCUGCACGGACCCACCAGCCACACACCUAUGCCUUUCACACAAUCCACGCCAGUCACCUUGUCACCACCCAGCGUCACGAAAGAUUCAAACACGUUGUAGAGGACCUGGGGGGGACAGAGAGGCAAGCAUGACAUCAGGUCGGCCCUCAGCCAGCGCUCACCCCUCCCUGACUCAGGCCCCAGGCCUCGAGGACUUGGGCUGGAUGGAGCAGCCUAUGGUGGACGCCAAAAAUCACUGGGAGGAAAUCAUCACGGGGUAAUAAUGGUCAAUAAGACGAAGGCCAAGGAUGAGCCAGCAGGUGGGAUAGGAGAGGCAGAAGGACAUUCUAGAAGGAACUAGAAUCUUCAGGAGCAAACUUGGCCCUUUCCUACUCUCAGCAAAGCACAAAGCUCCCCACUGCAUUUAACUCUGUUUUGUUUUCCAAGAUGAAGCCAGAGUUUCAUUUUUAGUGACUUCACUCUCGUGUUGACUCCUGACUGUGGGAUCACACCCCUUGACGUCUUUGCACGCUGACACUUAAACUGUAUCCCACCAAGACAUUAGGGAUGAGAAGCUCAAGAACUGUUUGCUAGGCUCAGCUGCGGAGAGUGCUGUGUUUCCUGGGCCGAGCCCUCCCAAGGACGCGCCACUCCGCAUGGCCAGGCCGAGGGGCUGCCGUGGGCAGGAUGCAGGCUCCUCGGGAAGCACCUUGUCUCUGGGCUCAGAGCCCAGCUCUCCAGGUCUGCUCAAGGGGACAGAGGACCCCAAAAGGCAGGGCGUGCAGCUGUCUCUACAGCAGGAGUACGCGGACUGGACGAUGUGCUGGUGGUGGGCAGGGCCUGGCCUCGGAGGGCAGGCCCCGGGGAACAGACCACACUCUGGUAUCUCUGCGGAAGUGUGGGCGGGCGGGCGGGAUGAAGCCUCUCACAAGAUGUACGCAGAGCUCUGUGGUGAGCUCCGUGGUCAGGAGAGGCGAAGCCACGGCACACAGCAGCCCAACCUCGAAGGAGCCGUGUGUCACAUUUCUGAUUGCGUUUCCAAUUAAUUAUCGGAUUCCCCCGAGAACAUCUUCUCUGUUACAGAAGGAUCUGGUGCGGCCCAACCUUAGGACCCUUCAGCCUCCUGAACCCGGGAAGGACGCGAGAAGGGAGUUUCUUGGAGAGGCCACUGGGACUUUCAGAGCCCAGACAGAUCUUCAUAUCCCGCUGCGCCUGCAGAGCCCUCGGGAUGGGCAGGGGGCCGGUGGGGCCAGGGCAGGUGCUCGGAGACACAUCGCCCGGCUGACCCGCGCAGGGAAAGUGCUCUGUGCGUGCCUCCGUGUUACCCAUAACUCACUCACACAGGUGUAGUGGCCCAGUUUGGGGACGGGUUUCGAAAACUCCAUGCCAGAUGCUGUGAUGUGGAGACGGUGUCCCCACAUUUCAUGAGUCUUUUGUUCGCUUUGUGGAGAGGUUGUGCCCUCACAGCCUAACACAGGGUCCUCCAGCCCCUGCCCCCCCACAGGGCCCUGCCCUCCUGGAGAGAAAGCCGCCUUCGUGGGCACACAACCCAUGCCAGCUCAUCUUCCUUCCUGAAUUCUGGUGAGGUCUUGCUGUGUGUCCUCAGCUGCUCUCUUAGGGGACUCAGGAACUGGGGGCACCAAGUCUGGGCCCGAAGUUAGAGCCGUCCAGCUCUGGGAACCGAGGCGGUGGGCCAACUGAUCGUUACCACGAUGGGGGAAAACGGACGAGGAAUUGGUCAGGCAGGUGGUCAUUCUGAGUUGCUCAGGGAAGGGAGCCAUGCGACAAGGGUGGCAUGGGGAAGCCUCCUGCGGUCGGAGCUGCGAGCGGAGGAAGAGACCCUCCCACAGAUGUGGCCUCCUCGAAGGCCGCUUCCUCUGCCCUCUGCACCGAGGGGCACUGCGGCCACAGGGGGACCGUGUUUCUCCCGCCCAGUGGCUCUGAGAUGCUCUGUGCCACGUCCCAGGGCCCGCCCGGCACCCGCUCACCACAGUGACGGCAUCGUUCAGCAGUGACUCCCCAAAGACGAUGAUGAACAGGACCUCGUUGACGUGCACCUCCUCGAACACGGCCAGGACAGCCACCGGGUCCACGGCGGCAAUCAGGCUGCCAAACAGGAGGAAAUCCAGCAGCCCGAUGUUCAGGUCUCCUGCAAGACAGGCAGGGCCAUCAAGGAGAGCCCUUUGGGGCCCAGGCAGAAUGAGGGCCUCGGAGCCAGGCACCCUUCCUGCCCUUGGCCUUCUGGGGGGCUGCCUCAGGCUGCUGUCCUGCUGAUGGCUGGGUUGGAGUCCCCUCAGGAUGAGGACUCGGAGUCUCUUAGGUCCGGAGCUGGCUGGUUAAGAGAACCUGGGUCAGACUGCCUGCCUCCCUCCCACGGGCUCCCACAGCCUUCAGGAAUGGUUGGUCUCACCCCCAGCAGGGACUGACCGCCCCUGCUUCUUCCCUUCAUCUCCCCUGGGCCUGGCUGCUCCCUUCUGGCCAGCCUGCCGGGAGGGUGCUCAAGCAGAUGGGGGGCCCAGGGUACUCGGACAGGCACAGCAUGGAAUCAGACCCCGGCCCUGGGCGGUCUGCAGGCCAGGGAUGGACAUGGCGUAUGUGCUAGGUGGCAGGUGGUUGGGGGCUCAACAGGCAUGGGGGAAAGGGCUCCCUGGGAAGUGAUAUCUCAGGCCAGAUCAGAGCCACCAGGACCAGCCUGAGGGGAGGUGAUGGAGGGGGACAGGGCAGGGACAGGCCUCACAGGGUCUGGGGAAACCCUGGGGUCUCCAACAGGACGGGCUGCCAGGGAGGUCUGAGCGACAAGAGGGGAGAUGGGGGCUCAGAGAGGAGGAAGGGAGCUUGGAGGCACAGGUCCUCAAAGCUCAGCCUAGCUUGCUUCUUGGAGUGGCCCCUGCCCAGCAGGUUCCUGGUGCCCUGGGGGGCAGGGGUCAUGCUGAGAUGCACUUUCCAGCUUCUCUGUCCUUCCAGAUUCAUCUCAGUCUCCAGCAGCAGUCUGCCCUGGACACCACCUCAGGGACCCUCAUAUGGUUGCCCGUCCCAGCUCUGUUCGGGACACACAGGCUCUCAGCAGGCUGGUUGGAGGAGGGCCUUGUCCAGGGGCCUUCUUGGCAUGGAGCCUCCUUCCCCAGGCUGACAGGACUUAAACAGAACCCAGGGGCCUGUCAGGCCUGGAAGCCAUGGGAGAGGCCCGCCGGGGUGGGGAAGGUGGAAACCGUGUGGGCUGGACGCCUGGCCGUUCAGGGCUGUGGGCCCCCUCCAGGUCAAGGACAGGAGGGUUCCGCAGGAGCCCGGCUCUCCCGCGGGGCCAGGCAGGGCCCUGGGCGAAGGUUGUGUCUGCGGAGAGGCAGGGCCCUGGAGGGGGUUUCCUGUGAGCUCUGGGUGUUGAAGCAGUGACAGGUGUCAGAACCAGCUUCCAGUGACUUUAAAAUGUCUGUUUUGGAAAGGGAAUCACAGGCUUCGCUCUCCCAUCGCCAGACACCGCGGGUGAGGCGGAGGGAGGAACACGGUCCUUCUUGGCUUCAGACGCCAGGGGCUCCCAGAUGCACAUUCCCCUGCACAUUCCCCUUUGAGGUGUUCCGUCUUUAAGCGCUUCCUGGCUCGAUGGCCUCCCGCUGUCCACAGACCCUGACAGACCUGGUGGUACAUUCUAGAAGCCAGCCAUCCAAGCAGCAAGUGCCCCAGGUCUGGGAGCAGCCUGCUUUCCUCCCUGGCAGGACGGUCCACCACCCCCUGCCAACAAGUUUCCCGGGACCGGACUGCACUGUGGGCGCCCGAUGACCAGCUGUGUGCUCUAGGACCCUCUUUCUGCCACGGGCAAGAGGACCUGAGUUUACACCCAUCUGAGGGGGCCUCUCUGACUGACGGCCUGGAGCCUCUGCUGGGCCUAACCCCAGCUGGCCUGUCCAGAUGCCCGCCCAGGAUCCCCACUGCCAGGCCUACCUGCGGCCUGGCCUAGGCCAACCAUUCCUCAGAGGGGUAUCUCCCUGGCCUUGACCUGCACCUCAGAGCCUGGUCACCGGUCUGCAGAAACUGAGCCCUAUACCUCCCAAGCCCCAUCAGCUCCAGGCUCCGGGUGUCUGGGGACAGGACAGACUCAUUGGCCCCUGGGUGCUGUUCUGCUCCGUGACCUUGCCUCACGCCCACCCUUGACCACCUGCAUCCUGAGGGCUGAACACAGGCACCCUCAGGGACUCUUGUUCCAAACCCCAAGACUUGCCCCUGGGUCCAGUGGCUGGAGGUGGUCCUGUCAUCUUAGCUAAGACCCAGCUAUCUAAAUGCAUCGCCAAUAAAUGCAACUGAAUGCCCCCGAGGCUUACUCACCAGCGAGGCCUGGCCAGGUGCCUUCGGCCCUAUGUCACCCUUGGGGGGGGGUUCUCUGGGUUGGGCCUGGGGGUGGUGCCAGAUGGCAGCAGGGGCUCAAAGGGGCAUGUGUGUUCCCCACGGGGCUGAGGACAAAGUCCUGAGAUGACAAAUGGGCCAGGCAAGGCAAGAGUUCCUGUCAGGGGCCCUUUGGCCUCUCUCAGUUCAUGUCCUUUGUCACCAAGGCUCCAAGGCCCUGAUCCUUGCGGGGAGCGAAGCACAGACUCUUCCUUCAGUCAGAUGGAAACCACUGGCCGGGCGCCUCCCUAGGAGUCUGGUUCUUGCAGGUGGAGGUGUUUGGGGCCAAGGCUGAGCACACAGACAGGUGCCCGUGGUGCCGACUGCCACUUCUCCUUGGUCACCCCCAGCACUGUGAGCUAGAGCUGGCGGCCCACGCCACAGACGGGCAGCAACCCCGGAGCGGGCCGCGUUUAGGGCUGUGUGCACUCUGUGCAAGGCCUCAGGGGAGCCCCGGACUCGCCUGCUCCAGUUUCCCAGGAGACACGGGCCGGGGAACCGAUGCAGACACACCGAUGAAUGGUGGCCGAGUGGCGGCCCGUGUGGCUUCUCUUGCUUGGGUAGGAGGGACCCAAUCUUUGCGCUCGGGUACGAGUCUGCCGGGGCUCCUCAAUCUGGCCUCUGCCAGAGGGGGCCUUCCCCUCCCUUUCCCUGGGGGCUUGGUGCAGGGAAGGGAGGCCCAGCCCCGCCUUCUUGCUGAGCGGGAGGGACAGCAGCUCAGCGGUCCCACCCACCCCACCCACCCGCUAACCUGGUUGGACAGGAUUUCAUUCCCAAGCAGGACGCAAGCCUCAGCCUGGGGAUGCCCAGAUAGCUGUUGUUUAUUAAUUAAACCUUAUUUUAAACACACCAAUCCGGUUAAACGGACCCACCAGUGAGCGUUGUCACCCCGAACACUCAUCCUCUUUCUGGGUCUGUAUUCUGUAUCCUGAGCUUUCUUAAGUAGGGCUGCCACACCCUGCUCCUGCAGAGCCCACCCCGAGAACACCCCCCAGGACCUCGCCCGAGGACCCCACCCGAGGACCCCACCCCGAGAACA